AUGCAGGAAACGGAGUGGCUACAUGCAGAGUCACAAAGCACUGCUACAGCUCUCACUCAUUCACUCACUCAGCCUAUCGUUUGCACUGCAUGCGUGACUUCACUAAGUCCACUUCACUACUACAGUGUAACCGUCGAUCCCUCUCUUUUCACUUGCAUUCAGGAAGUCUUGACAUGAACAAGCCGUACGGUUAAUGUGUGCAGAUUUACCCAACCAAUCUAAAGGGGAUCGACAUACAUGUCAUCUUUUCUUUUGUACAUGUAUUUUUUGCGAAACCCUUCUUCAGUGUUGUUUUUCUGCAUGGGACAAGUUUAAACUGAAUUCAAUUAUUUAUUUUCUCUUUCUCUUUUUACUUUUGCCUGGAUCCUCAACCGUUUCUUUGGAACUAUUCUGGUUCUUAUGUGGAUUUAAUCACUUCUCUUGAUCCCGCCAUCGCAUUACGGAUGCAUCACCAUGCCUGCUUACACCGGAGCAGCGAAUAAACCGAAGGAGAUGGAAGGGUACGUUGGGUUUGCCAACCUUCCCAACCAGGUGUACAGGCGCUCUGUGAAAAGGGGUUUCGAGUUCACUCUUAUGGUGGUCGGUGAAUCUGGUCUUGGUAAAAGCACACUGAUCAACUCACUAUUCCUAACAGAUAUCUACUCAGGGGAUUAUCCUGGACCAUCACAACGUAUCAAGAAAACAGUCAAGGUUGAAACAUCACAAGCCAAUUUGAAAGAGAAUGGAGUUCAACUAAGACUUACUAUUGUAGACACACCAGGCUUUGGGGACCAAGUAGACAACAGCAAUUGCUGGGCACCGAUCUUAGAUCACAUAGACAGCAAAUUUGAGGAGUACCUGAAUUCAGAGUCGAGAGUAAACAGAUAUUCAAUACCAGACAAAAGAGUACAAUGCUGUCUAUACUUCAUAGCACCUUCAGGUCAUGGGUUGAAACCUUUGGACAUAGAGUUCAUGAAGAGGUUACACGACAAGGUAAACAUCAUCCCACUCAUAGCCAAAGCAGACACACUCACGCCAGAAGAGUGCAGAGAAUUCAAGAAAAGGAUAAUGGCUGAAAUCAAUGAACACAAGAUCAAGAUCUAUGAAUUCCCUGACAUCGAGGAAGAGGAAGAGAACAAAGAAAAUAAACGUCUUACACAACGGAGGAAUGGUCCAAAAGAGAAAGAUACUUCUCCCAACAGUCUCAAGGAACGGGUUCCAUUUGCUGUUGUCGGUAGCAACCACAUUAUGGAGGUCAACGGGAAGCGGGUCAGAGGUCGACAAUAUCCGUGGGGAAUCGCUGAAGUCGAGAACUUGGAACACUGUGAUUUCAUUCCUCUACGUAACAUGCUAAUCAGAACACACAUGCAAGACCUCAAAGAUGUGACCAACAAUGUCCACUAUGAGAACUUCAGAUGUCGUAAACUCACCGCAGUCACGUCGGGCGACGCCAAGAGAGGCGGAAAGGCUAGCUCAAAGAACCCGAUAGCACAGUUUGAAGAGGAGAAGCUUGAGCAUGACAAGAAGAUGAGAAAGAUGGAAUCAGAGAUGGAACAAGUCUUUGAGAUGAAGGUCAAAGAAAAACAGAAGGGAUUAGAAGACUCAGAAGCCGAUAUGCAAAAACGUCUGGAACAGAUGAAGAAGGGCCUGGAACAGCAGCAGCGUGACUUGGAAGAAAAGAGGAGAAACUUUGAGAAAGAGAAGGAAGCUUUCGAUGAAAACCAACGUAUAAGGGAUGAACAACAUAAAGGAUCAAAACUGUGGGCCAUGCAAAUUGCAUUCCACAGGAAGAAGAGCAUACUCAUGAAGCCGCCCAAGCUCUUCAGUAGUACUGCCGAAUGACAGCGCCCUCUCUCGGUCGCGGGGGACACUUACAACAUUUAGGAACAAACAAAAAAAAGCGUAAAGAGAAUUCAUCAUACACAUCACCACCACCAUCACAUCACCUCAUGCGUAUGUAGCGCACCCGUAGUUUGAGGUCAAGCCUUCCCCGCGACAGAAAUUUCCCCCUGCUGUUUUAUUCGACACUGGAUCCGAAAAAGGCCAAAGGAAAGAAAACUAUAUUUUGAAUACGACAAGACCAUUCAUCCAUUCAUCGCAAUCUCCAAGACCUUUUCUUUUUCUUUUUUCAAUUAUAUAUUUCUCUAUGUCCAGGAAUUUUAUGUGGUUAUCUGUCUCGUAUUGACCCCCCCCCCCCUUCACUCCCCCAAUUAUCUGAACAAAUUGUCAUAGCAUGGCAAGUUAUGUAAUAUGAGUAAUGGGGACAUUAUUGGCAGGAUUAUCAGCCAACUAUAUAUGGAUAAAAUUUUAACCACAACUCCAAUAUUAAAAUCUAUUGAUUUUCAUUAGUGGGAACACUUAUCAUGGUUUAGCAUAUGUUCUAAAUGUAUGACGCCAUCUUACACAAUAUUAUUAAAAUUCAGAAAAGUACGGUAAGAUGAAUUAUUUUGAUCCAUCAAAGAAUGAAAAUUUAAAUUUGUAUUUAAUACAUGUACAUCAUUUAUAAGGAAAUUUAAAUCAGAGGUAUUUUAUCAUCAUUUUAUAAAUAAUGAUUUUCGUAACAAUUUUUCUACUUAGACAUUGUUUCGUGGACAUGAAUUACAUUUACAAUGAUAUUUAACAUGUGUAUUCAUACCAUUGCCCAAAUUCAUGCCCACGUAUACAUGAAGUUUCUUUAUUAUUGGGUAUUUAUUUUUCCACAUUGUCCUUUUCAUCAAA
rnacentral:misc_RNA from 1 species